AGGGGUCACAAGAGAGGGGCAGAAAAAGCCUUUCCCUGCAAGUAGAGCUGUUCUCAGUAAGGCACACUGAUGGGAUCAACAGCAGACAUGAGAGGUUGGACACCAGCAUGGGGAACAGGAUCUGUCUGCCAUCAGGUACACUCAUCACACGCUAUACACCUGGUUUGUAUCAGAGCUGCCCCAAGAAAAUGGCACAUAAAUCACAGAUGCUGGAUGACUAGAAGUUGUUACAGCUCCAUAUCUCAAACACCUCAAUACUGAAUUCUUUUCUCACUGUAUAUACAUUAUUUACACCC